GUGGUUGUAGUGUUCUAAAAAGAAAUUUUUGGGAAAUGGUGGGGUGAAUUCUGUUUUACAAAGCUAUUGAUUCGUACAUUGACAGUUGGAUACAGAUACCGCUAUAACAAAAAAUAAACAAAGCCAACAGUUGCAUUUUUAAUUCCUAAAUCUUUAUUGUGUUAGAGUUAAAUCACGAGAGAUGUUUGUUUACAGGAAAAGAAAUAUUAUGGCUGCUGUUUCAACUCUAUUUAUUUUUAUGUGUAUUAUCUACAUUAAAUAUUUAAAAAGCGGUAUCUCUAUUGUUGAGAAAAGUAUGAAUGAAAUCCAAAGAAUCGAACCCAAACCUUACGAAGUGACAAUAGUAACAUUGUAUGUUCCCCUGGGUAAGUUUCAGAAGGGGGGUGCGGGAGAUUUUUUCGACAAUGACAGAUAUAGAAAAUGGAUGCAGACGUUUAGUUGGUUAUCCAACAAACUCGUGGCCUUCCUGACUGAUGACGAUACAUACAGCUACUUCAAACAGAUUCGAUCCCAUCUUCCUCCGGAAAGAACUGUGCUGAUCAGAGUCAACCAAUCUGAUCUUGUCUCUUUCAAAGACUACGACAUAGUCAAUCAGAUUUAUUCAAAGCCCGACUACCCCAAGCAUCACCCCAACACGGUCAAUGCCAAUUACUCCCUCACCAUGAACGCCAAGUACGAUGUGCUGCAGAUGGCCAUGGACCUGGGUCACGUAAACACCAAAUAUAUUGCUUGGCUGGACAAUGGUUCUUCAGAACCUUGUUACAAGAAACUUUCAGACCCAAAAAUGAUACUUUUACUCUAGAAGUUCCUUUCAACUUUGAUGAUAAAAAAGUUGCUUUCACUGAGGUUGGAGGUCGAGACUUUCACAAAAACUUAUCGCCAUGGGAUUAUAUCAAGAACAACCAUGUCUGGGUGGCUGGAGGUUAUGUACUUGCAGAACAAAAGGUCAUACGGAAAUUCAUCCACGCUUACAAAAGGUCCUACCAAGCUUUGUUAAAGGACAAUAUGGCCAGCACGGACCAGCAAGUGAUCGGUUCCAUGUACUCACCACAGAUGAUCAAAGAUCAGGAGAUAGAGAUUCAAACGUACAGAUGUUCAGAUGGCCAGUUCCAACUGCACGGUUCAGAUAUCCAAUAUUUCUGUCUAGCGUACGUCUGCAAAGAGGCGGCAGAAUUGAGAAAAGCUAACACGACUUUACAACUUGCAUGAGAAUCUGGUUGUCUGCUGUUAACAUAACCACUUACUUUUAGCCGUCUACUGUUCUAAAAAAAAAUUCUUUCCCUUUCAGGUCAAUCUUUCUUGUUAUUUAGUAAUAACAUCGUUAUAAUUAAAUCGGCCCACUGUUCAUCAUCAUAUGAUCACAUUGUGGUUGGUGCAUGGGCGUAGCCAGGGGGGGGGUUCUUGGGGUUCAACCCCCCCCCGAAAUGAAAUCCCCCCCUCAGGGGGGGGGGACGGAAUUAAGUGACUGAUUUUUGCUUUCAUUUUGUUUAUUUUAGGUGAGAUUUUAAUACUAAAUCAUCACUUACCACAGCACAGCCGAGGCAGUUUUGAGUUAAAAACCCUCUACCAGGGGGUUUUGAGAUACAAAUCCCUCUACCAGGGGGCUUUGAGUUUAAAACCCCCUACAGGGGGUUUUGAAUUUUCAACCCCCUACCAGAGGUUUGUGCAGUUAAAUCCCCCUCUUCUAUAAAACAAAAAAAAAAUGCAAACAACAAUCCCCAAAUUCCAACAGCACAGUUGAGGAAGAUUUUGAUUUUAAAACCCCCUCCAAAAUUUACGAUAAACCCGAUCUUCAAUAUAAAAAAAGCAAAUUACACACUCAAAAUUCUAUGAGCGUAGCCAAAAGGGUUUUGAGUUUAAACCCCCCCCCCCUCCAGUUGGGGUUUGAAGCUAAAAAGUACCUCUUCAAUAUAAAAAAAAAGCAAAUUACACACUAUAAAAUCUAUGAGCGUAGACAAAGGGGUUUUGAGUUUAAAUCCACCUCCUCCAGAUGGCUUUUUCUUUAAAGUUUAAAACCCCUCCAGAUGGUUUUGAGUUUAAAAUUCCCCUACAGAGCGUUUAGAGUUGAAAACCUCUCUCUUCAAUAUUAUUUUAAAGCAAACUACAGUCACCAAAUUCUAAGAUCGUAGCUAAAUGGGGUUUCGAAUUAAAAACAAAACAAAAAAACUCCAGAGAUUUCUUAGUUUAAAACCCCUCAACAGAUGAUUUGACGAAAAAACUUUCCUUUUCGAUAUAAAAUCUAAAGCGAAAUACAGGCAUGUAAUUACAAGAGCGUAGUCAAGAAAGGUUACAGAUUUCUACCAUUGGCUUGGGCUCCAUUAAUAAAGUGUGAAUAGUCUUCUGCCGAAAUUGAAAAUCAUUAAAUUUGUCUCAACAAAGAUGGCUAAGACAGAUUUUAGGAGUCAGUCAUAGAGAUCGGGUCUAUAUCAAAGAAAUCAUAUGCGGAACUGGGAGUCGAAUCCUUAGUAAGGUUGUGACAGAGCGUCGCAUGAGGUUUUGCGGGACAUGUUCUCACACAAAAUGAAUUACGCAAAAUAAGAGUUGCGGAAACAGCCUGCCGGAAAAUGCGCCGAACGGCGCGAGAGGGUCUAAGUCAGUAAGAAUAGCACAUUAGGUUUUUGAAAUAAAACUUUUUAAUAGCAAGAUAAUGCACUGUCGAUACCUCAGAAUAUGCAUUUUGUUGGCUUUCAAUACCAGAAAUACUGCUCGGCAGCGGGGCUUCGCCCCGCGCUGGGGGAGUGCUGCGAACUCCCCCAGACCCCCUUGCUA